GGAUGUUGGCUUAGAAGCAGCCAUCAUUUAAGAAAGCGUAAUAGCUCACUGGUCGAGUCGGCCUGCGCGGAAGAUGUAACGGGGCUAAACCAUGCACCGAAGCUGCGGCAGCGACACUCAGGUGUUGUUGGGUAGGGGAGCGUUCUGUAAGCCUGCGAAGGUGGCCUGUGAGGGUUGCUGGAGGUAUCAGAAGUGCGAAUGCUGACAUAAGUAACGAUAAAGCGGGUGAAAAGCCCGCUCGCCGGAAGACCAAGGGUUCCUGUCCAACGUUAAUCGGGGCAGGGUGAGUCGACCCCUAAGGCGAGGCCGAAAGGCGUAGUCGAUGGGAAACGGGUUAAUAUUCCCGUACUUGGUGUUACUGCGAAGGGGGGACGGAGAAGGCUAUGUUGGCCGGGCGACGGUUGUCCCGGUUUAAGCGUGUAGGUGUGUGUUCCAGGUAAAUCCGGUUCACUUUAACACUGAGGCGUGACGACGAGGCACUACGGUGCUGAAGCAACAAAUGCCCUGCUUCCAGGAAAAGCCUCUAAGCAUCAGGUAACAUCAAAUCGUACCCCAAACCGACACAGGUGGUCAGGUAGAGAAUACCAAGGCGCUUGAGAGAACUCGGGUGAAGGAACUAGGCAAAAUGGUGCCGUAACUUCGGGAGAAGGCACGCUGACACGUAGGUGAAGUGAUUUACUCACGGAGCUGAAGUCAGUCGAAGAUACCAGCUGGCUGCAACUGUUUAUUAAAAACACAGCACUGUGCAAACACGAAAGUGGACGUAUACGGUGUGACGCCUGCCCGGUGCCGGAAGGUUAAUUGAUGGGGUCAGCGCAAGCGAAGCUCCUG
rnacentral:ncRNA from 1 species